rnacentral:rRNA from 1 species
AUUGAACGCUGGCGGCAGGCCUAACACAUGCAAGUCGAACGAGUGGCGGACGGGUGAGUAAUGUCUGGGAAACUGCCUGAUGGAGGGGGAUAACUACUGGAAACGGUAGCUAAUAAAGCAUACCAGCAGAUGUGCACAGAUGGGAUUAGCUUGUUGGUGGGGUAAAGGCUAACCAAGGCGACGAUCCCUAGCUGGUCUGAGAGGAUGACCAGCCACACGGGAACGGAGCUACGGUCCAGACUCCUACGGGAGGCAGCAGUGGGGAAUAUGUCACAAUGGGCGCAAGCCUGAUGCAGCCAUGCCGCGUGUAUGAAGAAGGCCUUCGGGUUGUAAAGUACUUUCAGCGGGGAGGCGUUACCCGCAGAAGAAGCACCGGCUAACUCCGUGCCAGCAGCCGCGGUAAUUC